rnacentral:rRNA from 1 species
UACGUAGGCAGCGAGCGUUGUUCGGAGUUACUGGGCGUAAAGAGUGCGUAGGCGGUCCUCUAAGUUUGGUGUGAAAUCUCCCGGCUUAACCGGGAGGGUGCGCCGAAAACUGGAGGGCUUGAGUAUGGGAGAGGUAAGCGGAAUUCCUGGUGUAGCGGUGAAAUGCGUAGAUAUCAGGAGGAACACCUGCGGUGUAGACGGCUUACUGGACCAUCACUGACGCUGAGGCACGAAAGCGUGGGUAG